CUUUUACUUUUUGUCUCUGUGGACAAAGGUUUGUACAUCAACUCUGGAUGUAUGGUGACUGUUUGGAAGUACCGAUAUAUUAUCUAAUUCAAAUCACUCUAGAGGCAAUGCAAAGACCGUCACUCUUGGCCAACCACCAAUCCUUUAUGUCCUUCAUGGAGAUUUGGAAAUGUUAGUUCCACACAUGUUGGGGAAUAAAAAAAUAUUCCACAGGGAUCUUUGCAUGAUGGUGUGUAAAAACUUGGUUGAGGAUGUUUUCUUGAUGACAGUGUGUUGCUGUGGUGUGAUGUGCACACUCUACUUGGCAGUCUUGUUUUGUGUCUGUCUGCCAGUAUGUUUUUCUCUGUGUUUUGUGUCUCCAAAUAUAAUCACAUCACUAAAAUAGAACUAAAUGUCCUCCAGCUACCUUAAUCCUUGUCCAAAAUCCAAACUAAACCACAAAACAAACUAAAACAAGAACAACCUUGUGGGCAAAGAUUGCAGUCCAUUGCAAUGGAUUCGAUUGGAAGUGAAAUGUUGAGUAGCUGAGGCAUGGUGGUGGCCAACUGUUUGGGUCUGGAUUAUGAUAUAUCGGUAUUCUCUAAUGCCUCGACUUAAAACUCAUUCGCUUGGUUCGAUUCUUCGCUUGAAGAAGUGACAAUUGUUGAGAGCUUGCUCCUCCACCCCUGUGCCUUGUCACUCACCCUCUCUUUUGCAUAGGCUUAAAUCAAGUGAUGCUUACAAAAAAGCCUGGGGCAAUAAUCAGGACGGAGUGGUGGCCAGCCAGCCAGCUCGUGUAGUGGACGAACGGGAGCAGAUGGCCAUCAGUGGCGGCUUCAUCCGCAGGGUAACAAAUGAUGCCCGAGAAAAUGAAAUGGAUGAAAACCUGGAGCAGGUGAGCGGCAUCAUCGGGAACCUCCGUCACAUGGCCCUGGAUAUGGGCAAUGAGAUCGAUACACAGAAUCGCCAGAUCGACAGGAUCAUGGAGAAGGCUGAUUCCAACAAAACCAGAAUUGAUGAGGCCAACCAACGUGCAACAAAGAUGCUGGGAAGUGGUUAAAUGUGCCCACCCGUGUUCUCCUCCAAAUGCUGUCGGGCAAGAUAGCUCCUUCAUGCUUUUCUCAUGGUAUUAUCUAGUAGGUCUGCACACAUAACACACAUCAGUCCACCCCCAUUGUGAAUGUUGUCCUGUGUCAUCUGUCAGCUUCCCAACAAUACUUUGUGUCUUUUGUUCUCUCUUGGUCUCUUUCUUUCCAAAGGUUGUACAUAGUGGUCAUUUGGUGGCUCUAACUCCUUGAUGUCUUGAGUUUCAUUUUUCAUUUUCUCUCCUCGGUGGCAUUUGCUGAAUAACAACAAUUUAGGAAUGCUCAAUGUGCUGUUGAUUCUUUCAAUCCACAGUAUUGUUCUUGUAAAACUGUGACAUUCCACAGAGUUACUGCCACGGUCCUUUGAGUGUCAGGCUCUGAAUCUCUCAAAAUGUGCCGUCUUUGGUUCCUCAUGGCUGUUAUCUGUCUUUAUGAUUUCAUGAUUAGACAAUGUGGAAUUACAUAACAGGCAUUGCACUAAAAGUGAUGUGAUUUAUGCAUUUAUGCAUGAGAACUAAAUAGAUUUUUAGAUUCCUACUUAAACAAAAACUUUCCAUGACAGUAGCAUACUGAUGAGACAACACACACACACACAAAACAACAGCAACAACAACAGAACAACAACAAAGCAUGCUCAGUAUUGAGACACUGUCAAGAUUAAGUUAUACCAGCAAAAGUGCAGUAGUGUCACUUUUUUCCUGUCAAUAUAUAGAGACUUCUAAAUCAUAAUCAUCCUUUUUUAAAAAAAAGAAUUUUAAAAAAGAUGGAUUUGACACACUCACCAUUUAAUCAUUUCCAGCAAAAUAUAUGUUUGGCUGAAAUUAUGUCAAAUGGAUGUAAUAUAGGGUUUGUUUGCUGCUUUUGAUGGCUACGUUUUGGAGAGAGCAAUCUUGCUGUGAAACAGUGUGGAUGUAAAUUUUAUAAGGCUGACUUUUACUAACCACCAUUUCCCCUGUGGUUUGUUAUCAGUACAAUUCUUUGUUGCUUAAUCUAGAGCUAUGCACACCAAAUUGCUGAGAUGUUUAGUAGCUGAUAAAGAAACCUUUUAAAAAAAUAAUAUAAAUGAAUGAAAUAUAGAUAAACUGUGAGAUAAAUAUCAUUAUAGCAUGUAAUAUUAAAUUCCUCCUGUCUCCUAUGUCAGUUUGUGAAGUGAUUGACAUUUUGUAGCUAGUUUAAAAUUAUUAAAAAUUAUAGACUCCA
rnacentral:sRNA from 1 species